GAUGAACGCUGGCGGCGUGCCUAAUACAUGCAAGUCGAGCGAACAGACGAGGAGCUUGCUCCUCUGACGUUAGCGGCGGACGGGUGAGUAACACGUGGAUAACCUACCUAUAAGACUGGGAUAACUUCGGGAAACCGGAGCUAAUACCGGAUAAUAUAUUGAACCGCAUGGUUCAAUAGUGAAAGACGGUUUUGCUGUCACUUAUAGAUGGAUCCGCGCCGCAUUAGCUAGUUGGUAAGGUAACGGCUUACCAAGGCAACGAUGCGUAGCCGACCUGAGAGGGUGAUCGGCCACACUGGAACUGAGACACGGUCCAGACUCCUACGGGAGGCAGCAGUGGGGAAUCUUCCGCAAUGGGCGAAAGCCUGACGGAGCAACGCCGCGUGAGUGAUGAAGGUCUUCGGGUCGUAAAACUCUGUUAUUAGGGAAGAACAAAUGUGUAAGUAACUAUGCACGUCUUGACGGUACCUAAUCAGAAAGCCACGGCUAACUACGUG
rnacentral:rRNA from 1 species